CUGUUAAGGAAUUUAAUAAAAUUGUUCAUGAUUUCUCCCUAAAAUUCUUAAUGUGUUGUAAGAGAACUUUGUGCAGCAGAAAAGUGUAGUUGAAUGUGUGGAUCUGUGUACGAAAUAUUGAAGGACUUUUACACUUAAUUUUUAAAAACCAAACAUGGCUUGCAUUGUGAUGAAAGCUUCUCUUCCCUAGACUGAAUACAUCAGGAUGUGCUUUCCCCAGCUUCAGCAAUCCUAGAUUGAAAUGUGUCUAACAAUCUACUAAUUUCAGUCAGAGUUGACAAACACCUAGCUAAGUGUUCAUGCUUCUUCUACUAGUGUAUAGGUUUCCCCUCUCUUGUUCUCUGCUUGUGAUUGUUUUAGGUUAAAUACCAUUCUUUGCUACAUUCUUUACCCCUUUGGUUUUGUUUUCCUUAAAUUUCUCUGUUUAUGAUGAUACCCUACUCCGUCAUAUUAUUUUUUCUGUUCUAUCUCUUAUAUGUCUUUAUUUAUACCUCCCCCCAAGAACUGAGACAAAAAAAGGAUAUUACUCAUGUUAUAUUUUCUUUGUUUUGUGUAUGCAGUAUCCUAGUCUAGGUCAAUCUUUCUGGCAAUUGACAUUGUUCUUUAUAAUUUCUUUUGUGUAUUUGAAUUGUUUAAUGUUUAUACUUUGUUCCUUGAUUCAUGUAGAGAUCAUGCCUUGCCCUCUUGUAUAUCUGUUUUUCUGAACCCAUUUGGUCUUACUAUUUAACAUUAUCUAUUUCAUUUCCCUCUACAGUAUUCUGAGGUAGAUGUCAAGUUGGUAUUUAAGGAAGUUACAUCCAGAUUUUUGAGGAAGCGCAUAGUAGAGGUAUGAAUACUUCUAAUGAAAUAAUUAAGAUUACUAUCCAUCAAAAUAUUAUGUGUGCUUUUUGUUGUCUAUGGGAGAGUUCUGUCAAAUAGUCUC
rnacentral:lncRNA from 1 species